GGCGUGCUUAACACAUGCAAGUCGAACGGAAAGGCCCUGCUUUUGUGGGGUGCUCGAGUGGCGAACGGGUGAGUAACACGUGAGUAACCUGCCCUUGACUUUGGGAUAACUUCAGGAAACUGGGGCUAAUACCGGAUAGGAGCUCCUGCUGCAUGGUGGGGGUUGGAAAGUUUCGGCGGUUGGGGAUGGACUCGCGGCUUAUCAGCUUGUUGGUGGGGUAGUGGCUUACCAAGGCUUUGACGGGUAGCCGGCCUGAGAGGGUGACCGGCCACAUUGGGACUGAGAUACGGCCCAGACUCCUACGGGAGGCAGCAGUGGGGAAUAUUGCACAAUGGGCGGAAGCCUGAUGCAGCAACGCCGCGUGCGGGAUGACGGCCUUCGGGUUGUAAACCGCUUUCGCCUGUGACGAAGCGUGAGUGACGGUAAUGGGUAAAGAAGCACCGGCUGACUACGUGCCAGCAGCCGCGGUGAUACGUAGGGUGCGAGCGUUGUCCGGAUUUAUUGGGCGUAAAGGGCUCGUAGGUGGUUGAUCGCGUCGGAAGUGUAAUCUUGGGGCUUAACCCUGAGCGUGCUUUCGAUACGGGUUGACUUGAGGAAGGUAGGGGAGAAUGGAAUUCCUGGUGGAGCGGUGGAAUGCGCAGAUAUCAGGAGGAACACCAGUGGCGAAGGCGGUUCUCUGGGCCUUUCCUGACGCUGAGGAGCGAAAGCGUGGGGAGCGAACAGGCUUAGAUACCCUGGUAGUCCACGCUGUAAACGGUGGGUACUAGGUGUGGGGUCCAUUCCACGGGCUCCGUGCCGUAGCUAACGCUUUAAGUACCCCGCCUGGGGAGUACGGCCGCAAGGCUAAAACUCAAAGGAAUUGACGGGGCCCCGCACAAGCGGCGGAGCAUGCGGAUUAAUUCGAUGCAACGCGUAGAACCUUACCUGGGUUUGACAUGGAUCGGGAGUGCUCAGAGAUGGGUGUGCCUCUUUUGGGGUCGGUUCACAGGUGGUGCAUGGCUGUCGUCAGCUCGUGUCGUGAGAUGUUGGGUUAAGUCCCGCAACGAGCGCAACCCUUGUUCACUGUUGCCAGCACGUUAUGGUGGGGACUCAGUGGAGACCGCCGGGGUCAACUCGGAGGAAGGUGGGGAUGACGUCAAGUCAUCAUGCCCCUUAUGUCCAGGGCUUCACGCAUGCUACAAUGGCUGGUACAGAGAGUGGCGAGCCUGUGAGGGUGAGCGAAUCUCGGAAAGCCGGUCUCAGUUCGGAUUGGGGUCUGCAACUCGACCUCAUGAAGUCGGAGUCGCUAGUAAUCGCAGAUCAGCAACGCUGCGGUGAAUACGUUCCCGGGGCUUGUACACACCGCCCGUCAAGUCAUGAAAGUUGGUAACACCCGAAGCCGGUGGCCUAACCGUUGUGGGGGAGCCGUCGAAGGUGGGACUGGUGAUUAGGACU
rnacentral:rRNA from 1 species